GCCAAGAUGGCCGAGUGGUCUAAGGCGAUGGUUUUAAGUGUUACUACUUAAGUCACCAUUAUCGAGAGAUGCCGGGGUUCGAACCCCCGUCUUGGCA